AUUAUUAAAGAGCUGAAUAUUGUAAGUAUAUAACAAUUAUGAAAACAAAAAAUUAUGGCGGUACUUUAAUCUUUUCAGAGGAAUUUGCUCUUUAAUGGAUAAAACGCCUUAAUCUUACUAAAGUUUGUUAUUUCAGUUUGUAUACCACUAUAAAAUUAAUAAUUUAUAAAGAUUUAUAUGAUUUUUUGUAUACGCAAAUUUUGGAAAAAAGAUUAAGUCAUGGUGCAGCAAAAAUUUUAGUAUGAAGUGAAUUACAGUUCUUUAAAGAAAUUAAAAGUAUUAAAUUUAAUAAUAGGAUUUGAAAGUAAAAAUUUAAUAUUAUGAUUUUUUGAAUAAAGUUCUAAAGUAUGUAC
rnacentral:rRNA from 1 species